AACGCACGAGACCUGCGGACCUGCGGAAGGAUCAUUAUCGAGUUUUGAACUGGGUUGUAGCUGGCCUUACGAGGCAUGUGCACGCCCUACUCAUCCACUCUACACCUGUGCACUUACUGUGGGUUUCAGAUCGUGAAACGUGCCCUGUUUACCGGGGCUCGCGGAGCGGUUUGUGCCUGCGUUUACCACAAACACCAAUAAAGUAUCAGAAUGUGUAUUGCGAUGUAACGCAUCUAUAUA
rnacentral:misc_RNA from 1 species